GGGCGCAGCAGGCGCGAAAACUGUGCAAUGCGCGAAAGCGCGACACGGGAAACCUGAGUGCUUUGACAAUGUCAAGGCUUUUCCUAAGCCUAAAAAGCUUAAGGAAUAAGAGCUGGGUAAGACGGGUGCCAGCCGCCGCGGUAACACCCGCAGCUCGAGUGGUGGUCACUUUUAUUGAGCCUAAAGCGUUCGUAGCCGGUCCUGUAAAUCUUCAGGAAAAUUCUUCCGCUCAACGGAAGAUCCUCUGAAGAGACUGCAGGACUAGGGACCGGGUGGGGUUGGAUGUACUUCUGGGGUAGGGGUAAAAUCCUGUAAUCCUGGAAGGACAACCGGUGGCGAAAGCGUCCAACUAGAACGGAUCCGACGGUGAGGAACGAGGGCUAGGGGAGCAAACCGGAUUAGAUACCCGGGUAGUCCUAGCUGUAAACACUGCCCACUUGGUGUUGCCCCUUCGUUGAGAGGGGGCAGUGCCGGAGCGAAGGUGUUAAGUGGGCCGCUUGGGGAGUAUGGUCGCAAGGCUGAAACUUAAAGGAAUUGGCGGGGGAGCACCGCAACGGGAGGAGCGUGCGGUUUAAUUGGAUUCAACGCCGGAAAACUCACCGGGAGCGACCUUUGGAUGAGAGCCAGCCUGACGAGCUUGCUCGAUAGAAGGAGAGGUGGUGCAUGGCCGUCGUCAGCUCGUACCGUAGGGCGUUCACUUAAGUGUGAUAACGAGCGAGACCCCCAUCUUUAAUUGCCAGUCUGACUUUGCGGUCAGAGGCACUUUAGAGGGACCGCCAGCGCUAAGCUGGAGGAAGGAGGGGUCGACGGCAGGUCAGUACGCCCCGAAUCUCCCGGGCUACACGCGCGCUACAAAGAGCAGGACAAUGAGUUGCAACCUCGAAAGGGGGAGCUAACCUCGAAACCUGCCCGUAGUUAGGAUUGAGGGCUGUAACUCGCCCUCAUGAAUGUGGAUUCCGUAGUAAUCGCGGGUCAACAGCCCGCGGUGAAUAUGCCCCUGCUCCUUGCACACACCGCCCGUCAAACCAUCCGAGCUGGUGUUGGAUGAGGGUAUGCCCGAGAGGACAAAUUCAAAUCUGAUGUCAGUGAGGAGGGUUAAGUCGUAACAAGGUAGCCGU
rnacentral:rRNA from 1 species